GGGUGGAAGGGAAGCAGUAGCCACGUUGUAGCUCCCUCAUGCCAUGGCCCCCCUCCUGGCUCACUUCUCUGUUGUGAGGCAGUGACCAAGCUUACAGCAGCUGCAUCUCACUUUGGAUCCUCCUUUGGCUUCCUGAUUCCUUCUCUGCUGCUCGAGCAGAAUAAUAUAAUGGAAAGGAAGAAGCUUGGUGCCUGAGGUCUGGAUUGUGAUGGAGGUAAUAAGCACAAACAAAUAUGCAGCUGCUGCCCAUUGUCAACCAGAGCAGACUGUUCCAGAGCAAUGAUGGAGGGAAAUUCCCAGAAUGCCAGGAGACAAUUCCAAGGCCUGCAACUGAUCACAGAUUCAGGGUUUCCUCCCAUUGGCUUAAAGUAUAAGAAACACAACAUGUAGCCUGACUUCCUUUGUAAUAGUUAGUAGGGGAAAGUCCAGAUGUUUGAUUUUUUAAAUUUUAUUUUAUUAUAUGUAUUUUUUAUUGAACUGGGGAUUAAAUGAACCCAGGGGGUUUUACCAUUGAGCUACAUCCCCAGUCCUUUUUAUGUAUUUAUUGUUUUAUUUUGAGAUAUGGCUUCACUAAGUUGCUUAGUCCCUCACUAAGUGGCUGAGGCUGGUCUUGGACUUGCAAUCUUCCUGCCUCAGCCUCUCCAGUCACUGAGAUUACAGACAUGUACCACCAUAUACAGCUUAAAUGUAUCCUUUGUCCCUGCUCCUCUGAGUUGAAUGCUAACUUUAGAGUAGCUUAAAAGACGACUGAAAGUACUUUCUUUUAUGAGCCAACCCUGGGUUGGGGUGCAGACUACGCAGGGUAGUUCUGCAAGGACAUGGGUGAAUAAGGGGAAGGGAAGACACACAAUUUUUUGUGGUCAGUAUUAUUAUCCCACCUAUCUGAAAUGUAGCACAGGAGAGGAAAGACUAAAAAUCAAAAGCCACAUGUGGAUUCCAUUGCAUCAACAGUGCAUUGGUUUCUUAUUCAUUUCAUUUCAAUGAGUAUUUAUUGAAAAAUGACAAUAUACUAAUCUUUGUGGAUACAUCAAAGAAUAAAAUGAAACCCCUGUCUUCUAGACUUUACAUUUCAGGGCCAUGGGAGUGGGGGGCAGAUAAAGAAUGGGAGGAAGGCAAUAAUGCAAUUAAACAAGCAAGAUAAUUUCAAACACAAAUAAGUUCUAUGGUAAUAGUAAACCAAGGAAACAAGAGAGAGGGUGACUAGAAGUGAUUUCUUAAUUUUGGGUCUGAGCUGACCUACACAGUAGUCACUAGCCACAUGUAGUUCUUGAGUGUUUAAGAUGUUACUAGUCUAAAUUGAGAUGUACUCUAAGAGAUGGUCUGGAUUUCAAAGACCUACUAUAAGAGAAAGGGGGCAAAAUAUCUCAUUAAUAAUUUUAUACUACUUCUUGAAAUGAUAAUGUUUUGUACAGAUUAAGCAGAAGUAUUAUUAAAACUAUUUUACCUCUAUAUUCAUAUUUGUAGUGAGGCUACUAGAAAAUUUAAAAUUAUACAUAUGGUUCACCAUUUUCAUUUGUUUG